AGCGAACGCUGGCGGCAGGCCUAACACAUGCAAGUCGAACGAAGUCUUCGGACUUAGUGGCGGACGGGUGAGUAACACGUGGGAACGUACCUUCUGGUUGGGAACAACUCAGGGAAACUUGAGCUAAUACCGGAUGAGCCCUUAGGGGGAAAGAUUUAUCGCCGAAAGAGCGGCCCGCGUUAGAUUAGCUAGUUGGUGAGGUAAAGGCUCACCAAGGCUACGAUCUAUAACUGGUCUGAGAGGAUGAUCAGCCACACUGGGACUGAGACACGGGCCAGACUCCUACGGGAGGCAGCAGUGGGGAAUCUUGCGCAAUGGGCGAAAGCCUGACGCAGCCAUGCCGCGUGAAUGAUGAAGGUCUUAGGAUUGUAAAAUUCUUUUACCAGGGACGAUAAUGACGGUACCUGGAGAAAAAGCCCCGGCUAACUUCGUGCCAGCCGCCGCAGUAAAAC
rnacentral:rRNA from 1 species